UGCAAUUGUAGAAACUCAAAGGGCUCCUCUUCAAAAGGACGGGUGUCAUUUGCAGCUGGCGGCUGGACUGAAAAUUUUGCUUAGCAACCACUGAGCCAGCCACCGCUGCUCACUGAAAAGUGAAUGCUACUACUACUACUGCAAGUACAAAAUGUCAAAUUUCAGCAGGUUUCUGUUCACGAACGGCGUCCUAGUUCCUCCGGCCGACACACCCCCGGUUGCAACCUUGCUGCAAUCGUGUCCCGUUUGAUUUCAGGUGCAUAUACGACAACUCGUACUCACAAUAAUGGGGCGGAAAUCAUGUUUUGGCAAAGACAUUUAUCCAGGCUCUCAAAUUCUGUUAAAGUCCUCUUGAAUUCCAGGCCCGAACUUUUGUUUAAAGCUGGAGAAGAUAUGGUACCUUUUGUUAAAGUGUCAGAGAAAUCUUUGAAAUGGGAUCUCGUCAUUCGUGCUCUAGUCAAUGAUUCGAUGGGAAAAGCUUUGCCUUUUGUGCUGAAAGAGAGGAAAUGUGGGGAGGAAAUGUCGAUUACGACACUAGUGAGUGGAAAUUUGGAGUCUUUAAGGGAGAUUGAGGACGUCAAUGAGGAAAGACUGAAAGCAGUCUUUGAUGUUUAUUUGCAUUUUGGUGGCUAUGUUCCCCGUGUUUUUGGAAUCCAAGGGAAUGGUGCGCGUUUAGCUGUGGUGGGACGCGGUAGGGAUAUCGCUAAUGCAAAGUAUUCGGAUUGGGUGAGGCUUAGGAAGGAUUUGGAGAAGCUGAGGCCACCUUCAACUACUGAGCUUCUAUUGUCAAACAAUGGUGAUCACAUCUUAGAAGGAUGCCUAACGAAUUUCUUUGUUGUUUGUGGCAAGGAUGAAUGCGGAGAGAUUUAUGAGCAGAAUGAUUUCGACUAUGAAAGAUCUGUCGAAGUACAGACAGCUCCUGUUAGUGAAGGUGUGCUUCCUGGAGUUAUACGCCAAGUAAUAAUUGAGAUAUGCUUGAGGAAUGGGAUCCCGUUUAGAGAAGUUGCGCCAUCAUGGUCACAGCAUAACAUGUGGAGAGAAGCAUUCAUUACAAAUAGCUUGAGAAUUGUAGAACAUGUAGAGACAAUUCUAGUCCCAAGUUCAUGGAAAUCCAUGGAAUCAAAAACUUCAACGGAAAUAAGAUGGGAGGAGAAACAAUUUGAGGUCACUCCCGGGAGGGUAACAUCAAUAAUACAGAAGGAGGUAAUGGAAAAAGCAGGAUUUGAAGCAUACGCAGUUGCUUUAUACAAAGACUGAUACUCUUGCAUGGUCGAGGGAACAACGAUGAGGCAACAUAUUAAAAGCUAAGAACGCCUUUUAUAAUGGUUAUGAAAAGGCAGCAUACAUCUGUAAGCUGUGAGAGGGAAAUGGAGUAUCAGAAUUACCAUAUAUGAUGGUGGCCACUAUGAGAUUCAAUGCUUGACAAAUCUGAUGAAUACUGUGGUGUUAUGAUCUUCUCGACAGACAUGUACGAAUCAGAUGCCAUUUUGUGCAUGUUAUACUAUCUUAUGAUUUUAUGCAAUACUGAUGAAUAGGGUGGUCUAAUGAUCUUAGUACAUGUCUAGCUCUCUCCCUGUUUGUCAUUUUAGGGAGAUAUUAGAUUGAUGUACGAAGCAAAUGUCUCAAAAUUUUAAGACUCUGUGUAUUGUGCCAUCUGAAAACACAAACCGAACUAAGACAAUGGCCUCAAUAUCUCAAGAAAAUGGAUGCUCCAUGGACCAGAUUCCGGUUGACAUAUCGACUUUCCCAGUAAUACGAAUUGUUCUGCUCUGCUACAAAAUAGAUUCGGUUUCCAUUACAUAUUUCUGAUUGCGAGAUAGUGAGCCAUUUGUGGCUAUGAACAAUGCCUGGUCCUCGCCCAAACUAGUUGAACUCUUUCAAUCCUUAUACGACUUUAAGUUUGAUAGCUUCAACCGUGAAGUCACUUUUUUGAAGAUA